rfam:Myotis brandtii contig317342, whole genome shotgun sequence.
GGUGGUUCUCGGGUGAUGCACCCUGGAAUCAGACUCCCUCCUCUCUGGUUCCAGUUGCGUCACCCGAGAACCACA